rnacentral:rRNA from 1 species
GAGUUUGAUCUUGGCUCAGUAUUGAACGCUGGCGGCAUGCCUUACACAUGCAAGUCGAACGGCAGCACGGGAGCUUGCUCCUGGUGGCGAGUGGCGAACGGGUGAGUAAUGCAUCGGAACGUAUCCUGGAGUGGGGGAUAACGUAGCGAAAGUUACGCUAAUACCGCAUAUUCUGUGAGCAGGAAAGCGGGGGACCUUCGGGCCUCGCGCUCUUGGAGCGGCCGAUGUCGGAUUAGCUAGUUGGUGAGGUAAAGGCUCACCAAGGCGACGAUCCGUAGCAGGUCUGAGAGGAUGAUCUGCCACACUGGAACUGAGACACGGUCCAGACUCCUACGGGAGGCAGCAGUGGGGAAUUUUGGACAAUGGGGGCAACCCGUGAUCCAGCCAUGCCGCGUGAGUGAAGAAGGCCUC